CUAAAUUCUUAAUCAGAAACCCUAACCCUAGCCCCUUACCACACCCAGCCGCUGCCCCACCCUCCCUCAACGUAACAGCACACACUCACGCUUAGAGAGAAGAUCUGAGGCAGAGCUAGCACUGACAGAAGGGAGGAAGAGCGUUGCCGGCCUGGUGCCACUGUCGUCGUCGCGUCCUGCCAUCCCUGCCACGAUGAAGCUGCCGAACUAGGCUGAGGGAGAGAGAGAUUGAAACGAGCUUUGAGGAAGAGUGUUGCGCGAGAAUGGAGAAGGAGAGGAACCGUCGCGAGCUGGCCAUCGAGGGAGUCGUUGCUGCGAAAUCGUCGCCGUUGAGAAGCUGCCGCCGUGUCCAGUUCACCACCAACAUCAUGCCGUUCGCGCCGUCGCCACCGAGAGCAGAACCGGGAAGAGAGUUGGCUCGCGAGUGAGGGUGGCCACGGGCUUGGAGCCACCGCUGCCUCGCGCCGUCGCCCUCGCCGUGAAUCCCGUCGCCCCUGCUGCAGCUGCCUUGCGCCGUCGUCCUUGCUAGCAGCGAGAGAGAAACAAGGUGAAUCCCCUUCGUUUUUGCUGCUCUGGUCCGCUGAGAAAGGGGAGACGCCGCCAUUGUGCUUCACGGUCGCCGGUGAUGCAGCCCGCGUCGCCGAAACUGCUCGGAGGUUUCCGUUACUCAUUCUGAUUCUAUCCUUUUCAAGAAUCUCACUGCUACCACUGGAAUCACAAACCAGAAAGGGGAGGAUGCCGUUUUCCUUGUUGCUGUUGUUGCCAUGGGAACUGGUGCUGGGAACUGCUAACGGAACUGCUGUGCUUGGCGAUCUUCGUGAGUUUCGACAUCGAGUUUACCCUCGGCAACAGAAGCCAUAAGAUGCUACAUAUGACAUGAAGCUUUCUCCAUGAGUGUUGACUGGCUUCUAAUGUGACAGCAAAGUAAAGAUAAACACUACAAAGGAGAACUAGUAGAACAAGAGUUGACAAGAGUGACCCCGUGCCUCUCCAUGAGUGUUGACCAACUUUCCAGCUCAUUCUUAAUUAAGAAGGUGCUAAAAAUUUGAGUCGAUAAACAACUUACCAAGCAUAACCUCGCUUCUGGAAAGGUGGUGCCUCCUGCAGUGUGAAGAGAGGUACCUCGAGUUAAUUUUCCAACAGCUGUAUUUCUCACCUGUAAUUGUCUGUAGGCAUCAGUGUCCCAACGUCUCAUUAAUUCACCAUGAACUUUUGGUGGGAUCCAAUAUGGAUGGGCU